AGUAGGGGAAUCGAAGACCAGAGGACAUAGAACCUGAGGGCAGAAAGAUAUAACAGGAAUCUAAGGGAUAACUUUUUACACAAAAGUUAGUGGGUGUAUGGAACAAGCUGUCAGAGGAGGUAGUUGAGGCACGUACUAUCAGACAGGUACAUGGAUAGGAUAAGCUUAGAGGGAUAUGGGCCAACUGCAGGCAGGUGGGAUUAGUGUAGAUGGAACAUGUUGGUCGGUGUGGGUAAGAUGGGUCAAAGGGCUUGUUUCCUUGCUGUGUGGCUGGGGCUGAGGCAUGACAUUUUAUCUGUAUGGGGAAUAUGCAUUGCCCCCAGUUUUUCCUUGGCCUUGGUCAGUGAAAUUAAGUGAUUGGUUCAUUCUUCAAUAUUUGAAAUGUAAUUGUGAAAUGUGCAUAGGGAUUGGUUCUCAGCUGAGAGUAAACUGCAGUACUCCCCAGUAUGUUAACAUACGAGAGGAUUGGUAAGCUUUGAAUUUCAAUACAUCCCAGUAAAAGUUGUCUGAAGAUUGAUAAUUUGCAUAUGAAGUUUUCUGUAAUUACUUUCCAAUGGAAGACAAUGCAUAUUCUUUUGCAUCGAGUAGAUUUCAGCACAGACAUAGCCACAUAACUAAAUGUCUUUGACAUGGCUCUCUUUGCCUGCAGUCCCACUAUCUUCACUUCUGCUUGACACCCGUAAGUCCAAGGUUAUACAAAAACAUUAAGUGAUUGAAUGUGUAAACACCCUAACAAUAGGCUUGUUUGAUCCAUCAUUGAAGGUUUAAGAGCAGAUCUGUGUUAAUGCACAUGUCUGCACAGCUCCGUCCUGGCAUUGAACAUUGGAAAUGCAGCCAUGCAAAGUUAACAAGAUGUUGCCAACUACAAAAUCAAGCAUGGCUACUAAUUUCAGUUUGGUAGCUGCAAUAUAAUUUGCACCCGAAGAGAGGAUUUGUGGUUAAUGCACCAUAUUGAGGUGUAAAUGGAUUUUGAUGCACUUUUUAAAUUGAUUUCUUGGAUUUGUAAUCUUUGAUGAUCUUGUCAAGUUUUUAUAAACCAAAAAAGUCAGUAUUGCUUUAUAUAUUGUGAAUGAUAUUUUCUAUAAAGAUUGUAGAUACAUCCCAGUAUCUCCAAAAAACUUUGACUUUACCAAAGGAGUGUUUACAUUGCAUGUUUUUAGUGAUUGCACUUCAUUUUCUCCGCAUUAAGUGGAAUGGAUCUGUGAUUUUAAAUUUCAUGUGUGAUUUGUUUAAACGUGCAGCACACUUUGAAAUAAUAAAAUAUUAUAAAAUCAA